rnacentral:rRNA from 1 species
AUGGCAGCGCCAACGCCUACCAUGAACAAGGUCAUGUCGAGCAUCGCGAACCUUGCGCAGCUCCUGCCCACGGGCACGGUGCUGACUUACCAGGCGUUGGCCCCGUCCUUCACCAACUACGGCAAGUGCGAGACCUCCAACCAGUGGCUCACCACGGCGCUGGUUGCUGUCCUCGCCUCCGCCUGCCUCUUCUUCUCCUUCACCGACAGCGUCGUGGGUCGCCGCGACGGAAAGCUAUAUUACGGCUUCGCCACAUUGCGUGGCUUCAACGUGUUCAACUUCUCCAGCGAGGAGGAGAAGCAGGAGUGGAAUGAUCUCGACCAAUUUCGGAGGCUCCGCCUUCAGCCACUGGAUUUCGUGCAUGCCUUCUUCACGGCGGUGGUUUUCCUCAUAAUGGCGUUCAGCGAUGUGGGGCUGCAAAACUGCUUCUUCCCGGAUGCCAGCAGGAACACACAGCAGCUGCUCAAGAACCUGCCAUUGGGAAUGGCGUUUCUGUCCAGCUUUGUGUUCAUCAUCUUCCCCACCAAAAGGAAGGGCAUUGGAUUCAAUGACACGACUCCUCGUCAGAAGGUCGUCCAUCCCUUGAACAAAAUACAUCCACUGACCAACGAGGACGACAAUGAGAUAACAGCUGCCCGCACAGCAACGCCAAUGACUACCAAGGGGCCUGCACCGGCCACGGUCAUGUCGAGCGUCGCGAACCUGGCGCAGCUCCUGCCGACAGGCACAGUGCUGGCCUACCAGGCACUGUCCCCGUCCUUCACCAACCACGGCAAGUGCGAGACCUCCAACCAGUGGCUCAGUGGGACGCUGGUCGCUGUCCUUGCCUCCGCGUGCCUCUUCUUCUCCUUCACCGAUAGCAUCGUUGGUCGCCGCAAUGGAAAGCUAUAUUACGGCUUUGCCACACUGUGUGGCUUCAACGUGUUCAACUUCUCCAGCGAGGAGGAGAGCGACGUGGGGCUGCAGAACUGCUUCUUCCCGGACGCCAACAGGAACACCGAAGAGCUGCUCAAGAAUCUGCCAAUGGGCAUGGCGUUCCUGUCCAGCUUUGUGUUCAUCAUCUUCCCCACCAAGAGGAAGAGCAUUGGAUUCUCUGACAACGCACCUCCCCAGAAGGUCGUCCAUCCCUUAAAUUGA